UCAGCCUCGCAAGCCUCUCAAGUGUGCAGCUUGGCGAGCUGCUGAUUUGAUUACAUUUACACACAUCCGACAGUUUUCUGGUUUGGCAAAGGCAACUGUUUUCCUCAAAAGUGCGCGGCGAAAUUUUCUUGUCAACACUUGCCAUGGGCUGAGAGAGAGAGACUGAGAGAGAGAGAGAGGGAGAGUUAAAUAACACGCUCUGAACCGGGAUCAGGAAAGGAGUCUUUGUCGAGGUCGGAGUCGGUGUCGGGGGUCAGCGACAACAAUAGCAGCUUGUUGUAGCUUGGCUUUGCCAUGACAGCCAAACAGUUGGCAUGCGAGGCGUGGCGAGGCGAGGCGCGGUGAGCAGCAACAACAACGCUGCUGCCGACCCCCAGGUUAGCCCAUAAUAAUAUUAGUGAUUGGUAUGUGCAGCAGUUUGAUAAUGAAGCCGAGGAAGCCCAUUAUGAGGAAGCCGAUUGUGAUGGCCAGCACGGAGCGCUGGAACUCCUGGCGAUCCGGUUUCGUGCAGCGCUUGAUCAUAAGCAACGACUCCUUGACGAAGCUCAGCAGCGGCAGCAGCGGCAGCAGCAGGAGCAUCAACUGAUUCCACACCAGGUGCGUGUACUUGGCAGUCCAGCGUAAAUUGGGCGACAGAUCUGGCAGUAGCUUGGCUAGCCUGGGAGCACAGUGUUCAGCAUAGUUAGUUGCUUGGACUGGCAUUACCUACCCGGUCUUUCGUUUCUUUCUUGGUGCCCGACGACGACGCUGUAAACGCUGAUCCAUUUAAACUUCUGUCGUUACUUUUCUGUUGAACUUGUUGUAUGUGCUACAAAGCAAUGCCUGCUCUGAAUUUCUUAGUCGGAAUUAACAUGCCCCGCCCUUUAUGAUGGAACUCAAA